CAGCCACAUUGGGACUGAGACACGGCCCAAACUCCUACGGGAGGCAGCAGUAGGGAAUCUUGCACAAUGGGGGAAACCCUGAUGCAGCGAUGCCGCGUGAGUGAAGAAGGCCUUUGGGUUGUAAAGCUCUUUCGUCGGGGAAGAAAAUGACUGUACCCGAAUAAGAAGGUCCGGCUAACUUCGUGCCAGCAGCCGCGGUAAUACGAAGGGACCUAGCGUAGUUCGGAAUUACUGGGCUUAAAGAGUUCGUAGGUGGUUAAAAAAGUUGGUGGUGAAAUCCCAGAGCUUAACUCUGGAACUGCCAUCAAAACUUUUUAGCUAGAGUAUGAUAGAGGAAAGCAGAAUUUCUAGUGUAGAGGUGAAAUUCGUAGAUAUUAGAAAGAAUACCAAUUGCGAAGGCAGCUUUCUGGAUCAUUACUGACACUGAGGAACGAAAGCAUGGGUAGCGAAGAGGAUUAGAUACCCUCGUAGUCCAUGCCGUAAACGAUGUGUGUUAGACGUUGGAAAUUUAUUUUCUGUGUCGCAGCGAAAGCAAUAAACACACCGCCUGGGGAGUACGACCGCAAGGUUAAAACUCAAAUGAAUUGACGGGGACCCGCACAAGUAGUGGAGCAUGUGGUUUAAUUCGAAGAUACGCGCAGAACCUUACCAACACUUGACAUGUUCGUCGCGACUUUAAGAGAUUAAAGUUUUCGGUUCGGCCGGACGAAACACAGGUGCUGCAUGGCUGUCGUCAGCUCGUGUCGUGAGAUGUUGGGUUAAGUCCCGCAACGAGCGCAACCCUCACUUUUAGUUGCCAUCAUUAAGUUGGGCACUCUGAAAGAACUGCCAGUGAUAAGCUGGAGGAAGGUGGGGAUGACGUCAAGUCCUCAUGGCCCUUACGUGUUGGGCUACACACGUGCUACAAUGG
rnacentral:rRNA from 1 species